AUUGAACGCUGGCGGAAUGCUUUACACAUGCAAGUCGAACGGCAGCACGGGGGCAGCCCUGGUGGCGAGUGGCGAACGGGUGAGUAAUACAUCGGAACGUGCCCGGUCGUGGGGGAUAACGUAGCGAAAGUUACGCUAAUACCGCAUACGAUCUGAGGAUGAAAGCGGGGGACCUUCGAGCCUCGCGCGAUCGGAGCGGCCGAUGUCAGAUUAGGUAGUUGGUGGGGUAAAGGCCUACCAAGCCGACGAUCUGUAGCUGGUCUGAGAGGACGACCAGCCACACUGGGACUGAGACACGGCCCAGACUCCUACGGGAGGCAGCAGUGGGGAAUUUUGGACAAUGGGCGCAAGCCUGAUCCAGCCAUGCCGCGUGCAGGACGAAGGCCUUCGGGUUGUAAAAUGCUGUUGUAAGGAACGAAAAGGCUCUGGCUAAUACCUGGGGGUCAUGACGGUACCGUAAGAAUAAGCACCGGCUAACUACGUG
rnacentral:rRNA from 1 species